rfam:Paenibacillus pini JCM 16418 DNA, contig: contig00002.
AGCACCUUUAAAACAGUCCCGUGAGACUGGCAAGGUAUCGUGAACCGAGGUUCACCUGAGUACGCGUAUCCGUAUGUCUAUUGGAUGACGCCCAGGAACCCCAUCAUUCAGUGAAACUGAAAUGAGAAUCGAGAACUCCUUGCCUAUGGGCAAGGAGUUUUUUUGUU